GAUGAACGCUGGCGGCGUGCCUAAUACAUGCAAGUCGAGCGAACGGACGAGAAGCUUGCUUCUCUGAUGUUAGCGGCGGACGGGUGAGUAACACGUGGAUAACCUACCUAUAAGACUGGGAUAACUUCGGGAAACCGGAGCUAAUACCGGAUAAUAUUUUGAACCGCAUGGUUCAAAAGUGAAAGACGGUCUUGCUGUCACUUAUAGAUGGAUCCGCGCUGCAUUAGCUAGUUGGUAAGGUAACGGCUUACCAAGGCAACGAUGCAUAGCCGACCUGAGAGGGUGAUCGGCCACACUGGAACUGAGACACGGUCCAGACUCCUACGGGAGGCAGCAGUAGGGAAUCUUCCGCAAUGGGCGAAAGCCUGACGGAGCAACGCCGCGUGAGUGAUGAAGGUCUUCGGAUCGUAAAACUCUGUUAUUAGGGAAGAACAUAUGUGUAAGUAACUGUGCACAUCUUGACGGUACCUAAUCAGAAAGCCACGGCUAACUACGUGCCAGCAGCCGCGGUAAUACGUAGGUGGCAAGCGUUAUCCGGAAUUAUUGGGCGUAAAGCGCGCGUAGGCGGUUUUUUAAGUCCGAUGUGAAAGCCCACGGCUCAACCGUGGAGGGUCAUUGGAAACUGGAAAACUUGAGUGCAGAAGAGGAAAGUGGAAUUCCAUGUGUAGCGGUGAAAUGCGCAGAGAUAUGGAGGAACACCAGUGGCGAAGGCGACUUUCUGGUCUGUAACUGACGCUGAUGUGCGAAAGCGUGGGGAUCAAACAGGAUUAGAUACCCUGGUAGCCCACGCCGUAAACGAUGAGUGCUAAGUGUUAGGGGGUUUCCGCCCCUUAGUGCUGCAGCUAACGCAUUAAGCACUCCGCCUGGGGAGUACGACCGCAAGGUUGAAACUCAAAGGAAUUGACGGGGACCCGCACAAGCGGUGGAGCAUGUGGUUUAAUUCGAAGCAACGCGAAGAACCUUACCAAAUCUUGACAUCCUUUGACAACUCUAGAGAUAGAGCUUUCCCCUUCGGGGGACAAAGUGACAGGUGGUGCAUGGUUGUCGUCAGCUCGUGUCGUGAGAUGUUGGGUUAAGUCCCGCAACGAGCGCAACCCUUAAGCUUAGUUGCCAUCAUUAAGUUGGGCACUCUAAGUUGACUGCCGGUGACAAACCGGAGGAAGGUGGGGAUGACGUCAAAUCAUCAUGCCCCUUAUGAUUUGGGCUACACACGUGCUACAAUGGACAAUACAAAGGGCAGCGAAACCGUGAGGUCAAGCAAAUCCCAUAAAGUUGUUCUCAGUUCGGAUUGUAGUCUGCAACUCGACUACAUGAAGCUGGAAUCGCUAGUAAUCGUAGAUCAGCAUGCUACGGUGAAUACGUUCCCGGGUCU
rnacentral:rRNA from 1 species